rnacentral:tRNA from 4 species
GGGCUCGUAGCUCAGCUGGUUAGAGCACACGCUUGAUAAGCGUGGGGUCGUAAGUUCAAAUCUUACCGGGCCCACCA